UUCGUAGGCGGUUUGGAAAGUCAGAUGUGAAAUCCUGCAGCUUAACUGCAGAACUGCAUUUGAAACUCCCAGACUUGAGUAUGAGAGGGGCAAAGGGAAUUCCCGGUGUAAGGGUGAAAUCUGCAGAGAUCGGGAAGAACACCAGUCGCGAAGGCGCUUUACUGGCUCAUCACUGACGCUGAGGGACGAAAGCUAGGGUAGCGAACG
rnacentral:rRNA from 1 species